UGGAAGAAAGAGGUCUGAGAUGGAUCAAGCCCUGUGUUGCCUGGUGGGACAAUGACAUCAAUGGGAGCAACCAAACCAACACGAGCAGGGGCUCCAACCUUGUAUUUGGCUACCUCUUCACUGACUUCCUUCAAAUCACCCUUGGUGAAGAUCAAACCAACGUUGCCAACAAGAAGGGGAAGAAGGUUGAGGUAAGCCUUGUUUCCAGUCUGCUCUGCGUGCAUCCUCACAGAUCGCUUCAUCAUAGUGUUUUUCCCCAUGAGCACAAUGGAGUCACCACGAAGACCCUUCCUAAUGUUCUGGAGCUGGUUGGAUCCGACAUUGUCAGCGGCCACAAUCAAAACCUGGCUGUACUCGUCGAGGAGCUGGCAGAGCUUGGAGUCGUAAGCGACCUUCUUCUCAGCCUUUGUGGGUUUCACAGCCAUUGAAAUGGGUUUCUGGAGAAAACUCUAAUAUACAACAAAAAAGAGGUUAUAGAAGAAAGAAAAAAAGCAAAACCGAGGGCCAAGACGAAGCUGGGUGCUCUGCCAAGGCGGACAGCGAAGCUAUGCCGUCUCUUUAACCUCUGUGUAAUGCUAAGAAGAUUCUUUUAGGGUUUUGG
rnacentral:misc_RNA from 1 species